rnacentral:rRNA from 1 species
AUACAGAGGGUGCGAGCGUUAAUCGGAAUUACUGGGCGUAAAGCGCGCGUAGGCGGCUUAUUAAGUCAGAUGUGAUAUCCCCGGGCUCAACCUGGGAACUGCAUCUGAUACUGGUAAGCUAGAGUUUGGGAGAGGGAAGUAGAAUUUCAGGUGUAGCGGUGAAAUGCAUAGAGAUCUGAAGGAAUACCAGUGGCGAAGGCGACUUCCUGGACUAAAACUGACGCUGAGGUGCGAAAGCGUGGGUAGCAAACGGGAUUAGAUACCCCUGUAGUCC